ACUGUCACAUGGGGUGCAGGCCCAGCGUGGCCAGAUUUUCUACUUUUCAAGUGAAGACAGGAAGCCCUGUUUAUCUACGGCGUUUCUGAAUUUCGAAAUGGAGUUCAGGAUCAAAACCCAGUGUCUUUACAUCAGAGUCGAGUCAAUGCAAACAUGGACGGGUUUGAUUUUCAUACUACAUCGCCUGGAAAACUUAGCUAUUAAAAGAGUUCUCGUAUAGCCGGGUGCAGUGGACUGAGUAUCGAAUGGCUCCUUCUUCUUCCCUGGAACUGAAAUCAUUGUACAUUAUCAAGCCACCUGGAAACACACAGAUGAAACAAUUCCGACCAUUGUGUCAGCACACAGGCGUACAGGCUACCGCAUCCCGCCUUGUUGUGUCAACAAGCGAGAGCUGUGUCUGCUCCCUGGUGCUGUGGCUGUCAGUGCUGGAGAGCACGGCCUGGACAG
rnacentral:lncRNA from 1 species